UGGGCGUAAAGCGCGCGUAGGCGGCUUGUUAAGCCAGAUGUGAAAGCCCCGGGCUCAACCUGGGAACUGCAUUUGGAACUGACUCGCUAGAGUACAGUAGAGGGUGGUGGAAUUUCCAGUGUAGCGGUGAAAUGCGUAGAGAUUGGAAGGAACAUCAGUGGCGAAGGCGGCCACCGGGACUGAUACUGACGCUGAGGUGCGAAAGCGUGGGUAGCAAACAGGAUUAGAUACCCUGGUAGUCCACGCCGUAAACGAUGAUAACUAGCCGUUGGAUUUAUUCCAGUGGCGCAGCUAACGCAUUAAGUUCUCCGCCUGGGGAGUACGGCCGCAAGGCUAAAACUCAAAUGAAUUGACGGGGGCCCGCACAAGCGGUGGAGCAUGUGGUUUAAUUCGAAGCAACGCGCAGAACCUUACCAGCCCUUGACAUGUGGAGUUUGGUUAUCAGAGAUGAUUUCCUUCAGUUCGGCUGGCUCCAACACAGGUGCUGCAUGGCU
rnacentral:rRNA from 1 species